AGCCACAUCACGUUCAAACACUGGUCCCCGUACGAUCACCGAAGUUAAGCAACGUCGAGCCUGAUCACUACCUAGAUGGAUUACUGCUUGGGAAUACCAGGUUCUGUA